AGAGUUGAUCAUGGCUCAGAACGAACGCUGGCGGCAGGUCUUAGGCAUGCAAGUCGAACGGAUGACAAGGGAGCUUGCUUCCUGAAGUCAGUGGCGCACGAGUGAGUAACGCGUGGGAAACUGCCCUUCACUGGGGAAUAACGUUUGGAAACGAACGCUAAUACCGCAUACGCCCGCAAGGGGAAAGAUUUAUCGGUGAUGGAUGUGCCCGCGUUGGAUUAGCCAGUUGGUGGGGUAAUGGCCUACCAAAGCAAUGAUCCAUAGCUGGUCUGAGAGGACGAUCAGCCACGCUGGAACUGAGACACGGUCCAGACUCCUACGGGAGGCAGCAGCUAAGAAUAUUGGGCAAUGGAGGAAACUCUGACCCAGCCAAUGCCGCGUGAAUGAAGAAGGCCUUCGGGUUGUAAAGUUCUUUUAGUCAUGAAGAUGAUGACAGUAGUGACAGAAAAAGCACCGGCUAACUUCGUGCCAGCAGCGGC
rnacentral:rRNA from 1 species